CGCGUUUGUCUGUCUAUAGGCAGCUCCCGGGACAACGCCAAGCAACGGUCAACACGGGCAGGACGCCGCCGCAGGAUGGUUGCAUCGGAGGUCAUGCGGGUGCAGCAGGAGCAGCAGCAUGACAACCUUUGCAACACUGCCCCGAAGCUUUAUUCACACGCGUGUUGCUUCUCGGCGGCAACAACGAGUGCAUGUCUCAUCUUUAUCACCGUCUGUCUGCCGCCCCGCGUGUGUGUGCGGCGGGAGAGGCAAAACAGGCGCCGGACAAGCAAACAGCUGUUCCGUCGAGCACUGCAGCGGCGGGAGGGGGAAGUAGGGAGGGCCGGGCAGCCUUGAUGGGCUGUGGGCGCUGGCAGGCAGGUGGCAGUGGAGGCGGCUGCGCGGGGGCUCGUAAAGCAAGGUAAUUAAGUCAUUGAGUCCCGCUGAUUAGUGGUUAUAAUCGCUUGUGAUGGACACAUUGCGGAUAGUUAAGAGCCGUCGCGGCAGCCUCACUGAGAGCUCGCCGUCAGCGCCGAGAGGGAGACGCACAGACGCAGCUUAACAUCUCAGCCCCGAACUCUGGACUGAAGAAAAGAUGGACUGGCUGUGACCCGGGGAAUGUAACCAGACCCUUCCCCACUCCCGCCCGGCCCGGGCCGCCCCUGUGGCCUGGGAAACGGCGGCUGAACGAAGAUAAAUGGAAAGCGUCGAAGGGAGUGGGAAGGGCCUGGAGUCUCAUACUUGCCUGCCCUAACCUUCUCGACUUAAUCAGCCGGACUCAGUGAUUACUGCAAGCCGCCUAAACCCACGGUCAUCCCAGACUUCUGGGCAGCCCACACACUGACCUCGGUGCUAUAGAGCCACCAGCCAGCCGUGUAAGCAGUCCUACCCGGGUGGCCUGCCUCCCCAGGGCUGGACGGAUGCAGGAGGUGCAGGACAGCCAGGGUGUUCCAGCAGCCAUGGAGCCUGAAGGACCUUCUCUAUCCCUUGUGGAGGGGUGGCAGUGGCAGCUGUUCAUCCCAUUAGGAGCUGCAGGACAGCCAGGGUGUUCCUGGAGCCUGAAGGACCUUCUCUAUCCCCUGUGGAGGGGCGGCUGUUCACCCCAUUAGGAGCUGCAGGACAGCCGGGGAGUUCCAGCAGCCUCUGGUCUCCAGGGAACUUCUCACCCGGCAUUGCUGACCUCCCAGCACCUCAACCUGAAGAAGGAGAAAUAUUACACUGUUUGUUCCUUACAGAAUAAAGUAUAAUGACACA